CUGAGAAACGAAUCAGGCCCUACGGGGCGCAGCAGGCGCGAAAACUUUACAAUGCGGGCAACCGUGAUAAGGGAACCUCGAGUGCCUGUAUAUGCAGGCUGUCCAGGUGUCUAAAACACACCUGAAGAAAGGGCCGGGCAAGACCGGUGCCAGCCGCCGCGGUAAUACCGGCGGCUCGAGUGGUGGCCGCUUUUAUUGGGCUUAAAGCGUUCGUAGCUGGGUCGUUAAGUCUCUUGGGAAAUCCGGCAGCUCAACUGUCGGGCGUCUAAGAGAUACUGGCGAUCUUGGAACCGGGAGAGGUGAGGGGUACUUCGGGGGUAGGAGUGAAAUCCUGUAAUCCUCGAGGGACCACCUGUGGCGAAGGCGCCUCACCAGAACGGCUUCGACAGUGAGGGACGAAAGCUGGGGGAGCAAACCGGAUUAGAUACCCGGGUAGUCCCAGCCGUAA
rnacentral:rRNA from 1 species